AGAGUUUGAUCCUGGCUCAGAACGAACGCUGGCGGCAGGCCUAACACAUGCAAGUCGAGCGCCCGCAAGGGAGCGGCAGACGGGUGAGUAACGCGUGGGAACGUGCCCUUUGGUUCGGAAUAUUCCCGGGAAACUGGGAGCAAAACCGGAUAAGCCCUUCGGGGGAAAGUUUACGCCAAAGGAUCGGCCCGCGCUAGAUUAGGUAGUUGGUGGGGUAACGGCCUACCAAGCCUACGAUCUAUAGCUGAUCUGAGAGGAUGAUCAGCCACACUGGGACUGAGACACGGCCCAGACUCCUACGGGAGGCAGCAGUGGGGAAUCUUGGACAAUGGGCGCAAGCCUGAUCCAGCCAUGCCGCGUGGAUGACUGAAGGCCCUAGGGUUGUAAAGUCCUUUCGACGGGGACGAUAAUGACGGUACCCGUAGAAGAAGCCCCGGCUAACUUCGUGCCAGCAGCCGCGGUAAUACGAAGGGGGCUAGCGUUGUUCGGAUUUACUGGGCGUAAAGGGCGCGUAGGCGGAUUUUUAAGUCGGGGGUGAAAUCCCGGAGCUCAACUCCGGAACUGCCUUCGAUACUGGAAGUCUGGAGCACGGUAGAGGUGAGUGGAAUUCCGAGUGUAGCGGUGAAAUGCGUAGA
rnacentral:rRNA from 1 species